rnacentral:lncRNA from 1 species
UUUUAAUUAAUUUAUUAUAAUUGGAGGGUUAUUACUUUAUUCUUAAGUGUUCUGCUGCUGUCUUUGUCCUUCCUCUCAGAACUAAACUGAUGCUGGAGUUGACGUUUAACCUACACAGUCUCCUGGCCUAGACAGACCUAACCAGGUGAUUCCAUACUCAAGUGCGGAGAAAGGAAGCUCUACCUCCUGGAAGGGUAUAUCUCCAUUUUUUUUUUUUUUUUUGUAUUUGUGAUUAUUCUGUAAGGAAAAUGUGCCUUUUAUUU